AGAGUUUGAUCCUGGCUCAGGAUGAACGCUAGCUACAGGCUUAACACAUGCAAGUCGAGGGGCAGCAUUUCAGUUUGCUUGCAAACUGGAGAUGGCGACCGGCGCACGGGUGAGUAACACGUAUCCAACCUGCCGAUAACUCGGGGAUAGCCUUUCGAAAGAAAGAUUAAUACCCGAUGGUAUAAUCAGACCGCAUGGUCUUGUUAUUAAAGAAUUUCGGUUAUCGAUGGGGAUGCGUUCCAUUAGGCAGUUGGUGAGGUAACGGCUCACCAAACCUUCGAUGGAUAGGGGUUCUGAGAGGAAGGUCCCCCACAUUGGAACUGAGACACGGUCCAAACUCCUACGGGAGGCAGCAGUGAGGAAUAUUGGUCAAUGGACGAGAGUCUGAACCAGCCAAGUAGCGUGAAGGAUGACUGCCCUAUGGGUUGUAAACUUCUUUUAUACGGGAAUAAAGUUAGGCACGUGUGCCUUUUUGUAUGUACCGUAUGAAUAAGGAUCGGCUAACUCCGUGCCAGCAGCCGCGGUAAUACGGAGGAUCCGAGCGUUAUCCGGAUUUAUUGGGUUUAAAGGGAGCGUAGGCGGGUUGUUAAGUCAGUUGUGAAAGUUUGCGGCUCAACCGUAAAAUUGCAGUUGAUACUGGCUGUCUUGAGUACAGUAGAGGUGGGCGGAAUUCGUGGUGUAGCGGUGAAAUGCUUAGAUAUCACGAAGAACUCCGAUUGCGAAGGCAGCUCACUAGACUGUUACUGACACUGAUGCUCGAAAGUGUGGGUAUCAAACAGGAUUAGAUACCCUGGUAGUCCACACAGUAAACGAUGAAUACUCGCUGUUUGCGAUAUACAGUAAGCGGCCAAGCGAAAGCAUUAAGUAUUCCACCUGGGGAGUACGCCGGCAACGGUGAAACUCAAAGGAAUUGACGGGGGCCCGCACAAGCGGAGGAACAUGUGGUUUAA
rnacentral:rRNA from 1 species